CGAAGGCUUGGGUUAGAGUUUUCAUGUUGAUCGACAUUUUUGAUAUAUUUUGAAAAUUAUACGGUGGAAAUUUGGAUCGUCAACGGCGGCGACGUGGCGGUAGCGGUGGUGGGGUGGGUGGAGGAAGAAAAACAAAAUAGAGAUUGGAAGUUGAGGAAGAUGGGAUCCCAACAACAGCCUUUUUGUUUUCUCUCACUCCGAUGGACAAGU
rnacentral:lncRNA from 1 species